rnacentral:rRNA from 1 species
UACGUAGGUGGCAAGCGUUGUCCGGAUUUACUGGGCGUAAAGGGCGUGCAGGCGGCUUGUUAAGUGCAGGGUGAAAGCUCCCGGCUCAACUGGGAGAGGUCCUUGCAUACUGGCGAGCUCGAGGGAGGCAGAGGAAAGUGGAAUUCCCGGUGUAGUGGUGAAAUGCGUAGAGAUCCGGAGGAACCCCAGAGGCGAAGGCGGCCCCCUGGCUCGUACCUGACGCUCAGCCACGAAAGCAUGGGGAGCGAACGGG